GCUGAGAAGGUGGCUCAGUGGUAGAGCGCUUGCCUUGCAUGCAUGAGGGUUCAAUUCCUCAGCA
rnacentral:tRNA from 1 species